GAUCACGGGCACCUCCACAUUCCAGCGUCCAAUGUAUCCACCGCUGUACAGAAGCGGACUCUUCCUGCCAGGAAGACCCUGGCCCAUGGCUGAGAACCGUGAGCCUCGUAGAUGGGCUGUGGAUGCCCGACCGCCCUCUCGGCCCACACAAGCCUUGUCCUCAGCAGUGUGAGGUCAAGGGCAGACCAAGCUGCAGCGGGCAGCGGCCACACUCGGAAGGCACCAGACGGAUACAGCCCUCCUCCACCCACAGCACGCUCCAGCGGUGGAGGUGUGCCACCGGCCUGGGCCCCGGAAGACGGCGUCCAGCCUGAGGACGCUGCCCAGAAGCCCACCCAAGCCACCAGGAGCCUCUGGCCUCUGCAGGCCACGGCUCAAUCGGCAUGGGUGACUGGUGCGUGGAGGGCUGUGAGUCAUGCCCAGGCCUCUGGCCCUGGUGCUGCCUGGUGGGGAGCCACGAGCACGGUCCACGCAGGCGAUAGGUCUCGCUCCGAGAACCAGUCCCGUGUUGUCUGCUGCUGCACUGAAUCACCGAAACUGGCUUAUAGCAAGGUGCUCCGGGCUGCGCCCCCACCGGCCGGCAUGGGGCGUGGGCAGGCUGCCCCCCUCAGUCUCUCUGCUCAUAAGCAUCCCUUCACACACCCCAAAUCGUAGGCUUGGGCCCUCCCAAAGACUCCUGGUAGUCUUUCUCAUACCCUAGCUGUACAACUUCCUUCUCUUCCAGGCCUAGGACACCAGACCCUGCCAUGCAAUCCAGGAUGGCAACUUCAUCCAUGAGCUGGCUGAACGCUCCUCUGCCCCCCCGCCCCCUGCACGGGUCCUGGCGUCCGGGGAGCAUUGCUCUGCCUGGCUCAGGCUGUGGAAGGCUCAGGAGGUGCUCCGGGUGCACAGCAUCGUGCCAGGUGGCUGGCACUGAGCCAGCACCCUUGGCAGGCAGAGGGCAAAAAAGUAUUGGAGGAGAGCACACUGCACAAGACAGAACGUGCAGGUGGUCCUAGAGUUGGAGGAAAAUAACCCCAGCUGACAUCUGGAGACUCGUCAGAAGCUGGGCUGGACUGGAGCAGCUGCAGGCCCGGCGUGAGGCGUGAGCAUUCCCUCCAACGGGACUGAGAUGUCUGGAUUAGAGUAUGGAUGGGAGACCCAGAAAUGCACCAACGCAAACUGUCCUGAGACUAGGCCUCACCAGCUUUGACCAUGAUCCUCAGAUUAAAGGAGUCUUUUAGCACAAGACCUUUUUUAUUCCCAAUUGAAGCAACAAGAUCAACAGAAAUAGUUGCUUUUGGGGGUCCAGUCAUGGGGCCUAAACUCUG